GCCAGGCACAGUGGCCUGUGCCUAUGGUCUCAGCUACUUGGGAGGCUGAGGCAGGAGGAUCACUGGAGCCCAGGAGUCCAACCCAGCCUGGGAAACAGAGACACCCCAUGUCUG
rnacentral:sRNA from 1 species